CCGAGUUUACAACUCCCAAACCCCUGUGAACAUACCUACUUGUUGCCUCGGCGGAUCAGCCCGCGCCCCGUAAAACGGGACGGCCCGCCAGAGGAACCCUAAACUCUGUUUCUUAGUGGAACUUCUGAGUAUAAAACCAUAAUAAAUCA
rnacentral:misc_RNA from 1 species